rnacentral:rRNA from 1 species
UACGUAGGGGCCUAGCGUUGUCCGGAAUUAUUGGGCGUAAAGAGCUCGUAGGUGGUUUGUCGCGUUGUCCGUGAAAACUCACAACUCAAUUGUGGGCGUGCGGGCGAUACGGGCAGACUGGAGUACUGCAGGGGAGACUGGAAUUCCUGGUGUAGCGGUGGAAUGCGCAGAUAUCAGGAGGAACACCGGUGGCGAAGGCGGGUCUCUGGGCAGUAACUGACGCUGAGGAGCGAAAGCGUGGGGAGCGAACAGG